rnacentral:rRNA from 1 species
CCUACGGGCGGCUGCAGUGGGGAAUAUUGGACAAUGGGCGAAAGCCUGAUCCAGCCAUGCCGCGUGUGUGAAGAAGGCCUUCGGGUUGUAAAGCACUUUCAGUGGGGAAGAAAGCCUUGGGGCUAAUACCCUCGAGGAAGGACAUCACCCACAGAAGAAGCACCGGCUAACUCCGUGCCAGCAGCCGCGGUAAUACGGAGGGUGCGAGCGUUAAUCGGAAUUACUGGGCGUAAAGCGCGCGUAGGCGGUCUGAUAAGCCGGUUGUGAAAGCCCCGGGCUCAACCCGGGAACGGCAUCCGGAACUGUCAGGCUAGAGUGCAGGAGAGGAAGGUAGAAUUCCCGGUGUAGCGGUGAAAUGCGUAGAGAUCGGGAGGAAUACCAGUGGCGAAGGCGACCUUCUGGACUGACACUGACGCUGAGGUGCGAAAGCGUGGGUAGCAAACAGGAUUAGAUACCCCAGUAGUC